UGUUGGAAUGAGUGAGCGAGUGACAGUGUGUAUUAAUGUGUGUGUGUGUGUGUGUGUGUGAGUGUGUGUGUGUGUGUGUGUGUGUGUGUGUGUGUGUGUGUGUGUGAGAGUGUUUGCUGAGACGUGUAUUAUGGUUCCUCUUUUUCAUCUCUAUAAACAGGCAGAGUCUGGAUGGCUUCACACGUCUUCAUUAGUCAGGCGGCGAAGAAGUUCCUCUCUAGCCAGUUACAACACUGUACCCGCAUCAGAAUGCUGUUUUUCAGACCAGGAUGAUAACUUUUUUGGGAUUUGUGGUGCUGAUGGCUGCAUUUUCUCAUGGUGUGGACUCCAUCUGUGAUGUUACUCAGGAUGCUGUAUGUAACGGCACCCUAGGACUACCUGUGUACCUACAGCUGAUUAGGGACGCCACAGGACACGAACUGAAGUUAUUCAGUGGAGAUAAGAAUGUUUUUACAUCCAAAUCCUCCAAGACAGUGUUCUUUAACGAGUUCAACAACCCAUCAUACCUCCAGAGGUGGCAGUUUGUUCGUGAUAACGGGACCUUGAUUAUUAACCCUGCAGAGAAGAGAGACGCAGGAACAUACAGAGUGGAGAUCUAUGAGGAGUCAACAGGGAGGAGUGUGGGAGAUCACACAGUUCAGCUGAUCCUUCAAGGUACCUCCACUGUGUCUGUCAAACCAACUAACCAGACUAACACGACUCUUCCCUCUACCCACCCAGGUCCCUCAGUGACGGUAAUAGUUAUUUGUGUGUUAUUAUCCCUGACUGUGUGUCUGUGUGUCGCUGUGGGGACGUUCUACAUCAGAAUGAAAAAGAGGAAUACACACACUCCAGUGAGUGAAAAGAAAGAGCCUGACGAUUUGGUGUACGCCCAGGUGACCACUGGUAGCAACGGCAGAAGACAAAUAUCAGACAUUCAAGGUACAAGAGUGGAAACAGAGGAUGUGGUGUAUUCUGGCGUUGCCAUGGCAAAUAGGAGCAGCAGGCAUAACAGCAGGAAGCCACCAGCAGCUGAGGCGUAUGAGUUGGAGUAUGCUGAGGUGUCUGCCUUCAGUAAGCGACGGGGCCCAACUGAGAGUCACAGGCCAGAGGAGUCGGUUGAGUACGGGGAAGUGAGAGUCCACACACCACACUGACCCACAGCAGGCAGACAGUGUGUAUGCUCAAAUGCACCUCGGACAGUGACCUGUGUGUGUGUGUGUGUGUGUGUGUGUGUGUGUGUGUCUGUGUCUGUGUCUGUGUCUGUGCACCUGUGGAGGCAUGUAGCAGAGUGUGUGUCUGUUCCUCACAGCAGGUUAAUGUGGAGGUUAAUGACCACAGCAGACACAACUAACCAAGGGUACUAUAAUGGUGGAAUUAUGUGGUUAAUUAAGGUUACUAUCAUGAUGAAAUUAUGUAGUUAACCAGGGUUACCAUUGUUAGGAAAAAAUACACUGCGUGUUGUUUCGGAGAGGAACCACCAUAUGAAGCAAUUUGUUGUAACAAGGUUGAGUUUUACUGGUAGGUAACGACACAAUACAACUUGCCCAACAGACAGUCAAGUACAGUCAAGCAAGCCGGAGAAUGUGAAUUCUAGAGUCUAAACAGAGGAUGCUCCCACUUUUAAGGCCUAAUUCUGUGAUGUCGCUUCUGGCCCCCUGCACCUCCCACAUACACUGUCUUCCACUCGGCACUUUGUUAUAACACAUGAUUAACUUCUGCUUUUAAUCUGCUGACAUGUAUGUCUGGACAUUUUUGUCUGUGCCCCAGCCUUGACCACCUAAGAUUUAUAUGCUUCUCUCCUCUUCCGGGCCUUUGUUUUAACUUGCUUUCUCCUGUCUGACUCUUUACAUUUCCCCUGCAGAUGUUACUUGCUGUUUUUCUGACUUGUUGGCAGACUGCCCUUUUAUUGUGAUUAUACUUCAUUGAUACAUUUGGUUAAAUGUGAUAUGAUUAGAUAAAUUUGAUAAUUCAAAUGUAUCUUACAUUUCCCUCCUUUGACCUCAUUUAUGAGGUCAACAAUUUCUCCAAGCAUAAGCCACUAAGAAGCCAGGUUACAUGUUCAGGAUGGGUUUUCGUUUUACUUUACACAAUUCUAUCAAUCACCCUCCUUUAGCAUUCUAGCACAGCAUAAGCAAUAUUACACCUCCAGGCUCUACUCUGUCACCGGGAUGCCUGCCCCCCUCUCAGGUCAUCCGCCCCCCAUGGCUUGGUGAGACUGCCAGUGCUUUUCUCUUAGAGGUCACCCUCAGAGCGAAACCUUUCAGUGCCUAAACAGUGUCUAAACUAAUAAAAGUAAGCUAUAAUAGUAAGUACUUCAAACGGUUAGUCUUAUACUAAAAUUAACUAUUAGGUUACAUUUUUUAUACUAUAAUCAACUUUUUGUAAAACUAAAAAAUACAAAAUGCAAUAGUACACCAUUUUAUACUAAAAUCCUGGCACAAUAGCAUUAUGAGCAUGCACAUUUCAGCAAAAAAUCAUCAUUCAUUUUUUUUUUUUUCUUCUUCACCCCCCUACUCUCACAACUGACUUUCCUGCUGUCUACUCUCUCUUUCUGCCUCUUGGGGUUCUCUCCAGUAUUCAUCUUCCAAGUAGUCGAACCAAUCUGCUUGAGCGUCCAAACACUGGUCGCAAAUCACCUCCCUCGGAUCACCACUCUUCCACCACACUCCUUCCUGAAACAGAUUCUCAUCAACCACAUCUUCCCCUCCUUGGUUAAACAAUUCAUUCAAUGUCUUUUUGUGGUGACUCAACAUUUGAGCCACCACAGCUGCUCUCCCCGGUGUCAUAAGGCCAAGAGGUAUCCCAUCCCCAUCAUCAUCAUUAUCAUCAUCAUCAUCAUCAGGUCUGCAAAUUGCCCAAUCCUCAUUUACUAACACCGCUAACCUCUGCAAUUUGGCCAUCUCUUUGUUGUGAAUUUCUGCCCAUUCCCAGCACAUCCAGCCGGCUCCCCUGCCAUAUCCAUACUUACAGUAGGGGUUGCCUAUUGGGCAAUCAGGUGUGUACGGGCCUUCAGGUUUUAUCCAUACCAUGUCAUCCCCAGUCAUCUUAGUGUCAUCCUUACUCUCCGUGGGUUCAUCUGUCUCCCCUUGUCCAUCUCCAUCCUCCUUUUCUGUUGGGGAAAUAAACAGUGUCGCCUCCCAUGUGUUCCCUACUCUACCUACCGCUCCGAAUGGGAGAGUCUCCAUUUGUGCUGCCUGGUACUUAGGUGGUGCGUCUGGGAUCUCAUCUUUUCCAUUAAUUGCUCUUUCUAUGGUGCGAGUAGCUAGAGUUCUCAUACAUGGAAUGCAACAACAUCCACAGGUGGUCAGUAUGGCACCCCCUACUGCUACUCCUAAAAAUACUUGUCCCAAGAACGCUCCCCAUCUUCCAAACUUCUCAUUUAACCAAUCUACCAGAGGAUUUUUUAUUCCAGACUGUUCUUUCAUUUCGUUAGCU
ensembl:lncRNA